UCUCCUGAGGUCCUGGCACCUUGCAAUAGUUUGGAAGCAUGCAGUUUUGACCCAAACGUUCCACCACUGGAAAGAACUGACAGCAUAUUUGACCCCAAAUAUAUGGCUGGACAUGGCAAGAUGAAUCCUCUGCUACAGAGAGCUCAAAGAGGAGGAGUUGGACACCUGCAGAAGUGUGUGCAGAGGAAAAGACUCUAAAGGUGUUCAUAGACGGUGGAAAAGUUCCCAGGAAAGCAGACUGUGUGGCUUGCAUCAAGGCCUCACCACAAGAGCUGAAGUCAAGAACCUGGAAGGCUGUUAAGUACUAUGUUAAGAACCGAAUAACAGCAGUUCAGCGUGAAGGAGCAAGACGGUAUUAAAGAUUUUCUCAGGCUUUUGUUUU